rnacentral:rRNA from 1 species
AGCAGCCGCGGUAAUUCCAGCUCCAAUAGCGUAUAUUAAAGUUGUUGCAGUUAAAAAGCUCGUAGUUGAAUUUCGGGAUCAAUGUUUCGGUCAUGCCCUUGGUAUGUACUGAUAUUAUUGGUUUCUCACCUUCUAAAGAACCGUAAUGCCAUUAAUUUGGUGUCACGGGGAAUUAGGACUGUUACCUUGAAAAAAUUAGAGUGUUUAAGGCAGGCUCACGCUUGAAUACAUUAGCAUGGAAUAAUGAAAUAGGACAUCCGAUUCUAUUUUGUUGGUUUCUAGGAUCGAUGUAAUGAUUAAUAGGGAUAGUUGGGGGCAUUAGUAUUCAAUUGUCAGAGGUGAAAUUCUUGGAUUUAUUGAAGACUAACUACUGCGAAAGCAUUUGCCAAGGAUGUUUUCAUUAAUCAAGAACGAAAGUUAGGGGAUCGAAGACGAUCAGAUACCGUCGUAGUCUUAACCAUAAACUAUGCCGACUAGGGAUCGGAUGAUGUUAAUUUUUUAAUGACUCA